rnacentral:lncRNA from 1 species
UUCACCAUUGGCUUCAAUCUUCAUCGACUCUGCUCUUCGUUCUUCUUCAUCUUCUUCUUCACCUGUUCCAACCAAACCCUGCUGGAUAUCAAAAGCAAAUGGCAACCUACAUGCGGUUAGAUAUGAACUCCUUCGUGACAUAUGGUCGAACAGCGAGUGACAAUAUGUGAUGACUAUAUGUAUAUGUAUAUGAAUGAUAUGGUAGUAUAUUGCCCCUUUUCUUUGUGAGGAGUUGUAAAUUUCCUUAGUCAAGGUUUGGUUAUACAUGUUAUUUCUUUAGCUUUCUUUUCUGAGGUUUAUCAUCUGUAAAAAGAAAGCAUAAGAGCCAAUUCUUGUGGCUUCCUUAGAGCCCAGUGCUGCCUUGGAGCCCCAUUUCUUUGUGAGGACUAGCCGAAGUAGUCCCAAAACCCUGAUGCUUAAGGGUGUACCGUUCUCAGGCUAGAAACAUUUUGCCCUGCUCUAUCCGGUCCUCAAAUCAAUAAAAGUGUGUGGAUCGUAGAAAUCAGUUCAGUGCAAUUGCAAUCCGGUUAUAUAUAUAACCUAAAAUCAGUGCUACCCUAAGAUUAACCCAUGAGUAAGAUUUUUAUUGACAUAUUUGCAGAAGAUAUGGAGCAACAGACAGAAUAUAUAGCUUACGAUAUGCUAACUACAAGCCAUGAGGGCCGAAGUUUUAGUAUUCUCUACUUUUAGUCUCUCGAAAAAAUUACAUUACAUCCUCAAAACUGCAUAAAACUUGCUCAAGUAAAAAUGUAAAGAAACAAAAUUUUCCAAGCAAUCUUGGAUGUUUGCAUUGCAAACACCAACUUGCUCUAACACUCACUCACCAACUUAUACAUAUUUACUAGUUACUACUGUCCCAAAAUUUGAACAUAUCAAGACAUCACUAAAAUAACAAGAAAAUUAAAUCAUGCUGUGAGCUUCUGUAAAUCACCAGCUGCAUUCAUGUGCUGGAGAUGCAAUGCAGCCAACAACCCUUGCCAGGUUUCUCCAGGCGCCACUCCCACCUGAAAGUCAAGAAGUUUUUUCUGUUUCCUGUAGUAAUCUUCCAAUGGCUUCCCCUAAAAACAUAUAGAUUUGCAAUUAGAAAAUUUUGAUUAUCCGACAUUAUUUUCUUGAUUUACCCAAUAAGAAUAUGGACAAUUCACAGCUUAAGGACAGCUUACAUUACUAAAUCAAUCAUACAGGAAGGACAUGAGUCGUGGUAAAAGAAAUUCACACACCAAGAUAAAAGAUUAUCAAGUGGAUCAGCAAGAUGGAUUAGAUUUAGAUGAUCUAAGCAUCAUUUGCAAAAAUCAUAUUAGACAAAGAGGAAAAGAAAAAUCUUAUAAUAAUUUCUAUUUUUUAAUGUCAACAAGAAAUCACAUGGAUGGCAUGACCCACCCCUGCAUGAUACAUCUGAGGAGAUGUCCCAGUCACACAGGAAAUUCUUGCAAUUGUCAUUAUAAGUGCCACAGAGUCAACUGUUUGGGUAAAAUACAGAACAAAAUUUUGGAUCAUUAUAUUGUUCUGAAAUUGGGAAGUUGCAGGCAUAACCAGACUCAAAAGAGAUUAGAAUUUACCUGCUCUGCAUAGAUACGAAGUUUCUCCUUACAGGCACUGUUUGCAACAGUAGCAGGGAACCCAGAGUUGCCUACUGUAAGAAGCUCUUGACAAGCAGUAGUUUCACUUCCUAGAUCUUUUCUGCCCAAAUGAUUAUUAGUGCAUUUGAAAUUGACAACUAGAUCGACAUCAACAAUUUGGUCAAGAAUUUCCUGCAAACAAAAAACCCAGCAUUUCAAGGACAUUUGAAACUCUACAGUUCAAUAUAGCCUUAUCAGAUUUGCAACUAAGAUUUCUCUUAAGAGGUAGGAUAACUGGUUUUUCCAUAAAGAGGAUAAGACAAAUCACAUAAGCAAGUUCCCAAGCAUAAUGGACUAUAAGGGAACCGGUCAUAGGCAUACAUAUGAGAGGUGGAAAUGUCAAUACUAAAGCUGAAACUUACAGCCUGGAUUCGAGUUCGAGGAAUCCCAUCAAGAAUGAACCCAGUUUCACCUUUGCAAUAACCUUCCUCCAAUCUCUUUGAUAACAAUGCAAAAAUCACCUCCUCACGAACAAGUUUUCCUUCAUUUACUGCAUUUGAAAUCUACGAUUCAAUAGGACCAAAGAAACAAAAACAAAAUGAGUAAGCCCGUGAGUAUUAAGAAACAUGGAAUGGUUUUAAAAGACAUGAGUUUUUAAUAAAGGAAAAACGGUUAAUAAAGGAUAACCUAACCCAAAGAAGAUCAUCUUUCCAAGUAACUAACAAAAAAAUCAAACAAACCCAUCUGAUCAGGCAUGAACUUUUUCUUCCACCCAGUCUUUGCAGCGAAAAAACACACCAAAAAAUAUCCAUCAAAAUUAGACUGCCUACUUACCGACCUACUGAUUUGACGCAUAUACCCAAAUUUAUAAGAAGAUAGUUGUAAUGUGACAUUCGACCCUCAAUCAAACAACAAAUUACAGCAUGAUUGGCUAACGUUACUUUUUUUACUCUAAUCCACCCCGAACAGCAAAAACUUUCAUAUCAUUAAUCAAUCAGUGGCAACUAACCAAAAACCUACAGAAACUGCAAUUGAACCCAUAACAGAGACAAGAAUGAUCCAUAAAUGGCCAUGACCGACCACUUAUACAAAGUCAACGUUCAAGAAGAAGCACCAAUUUAGUAAACUAUUUCAUAUACAGCGAAUAAUUAAAGAUAAUUAGAAGAACAACGAAGACGCAAGAGAAGAAAAAGAUCAUUCACCUGUUUGUAGAGAGAAGAGCGAGGGUUCAGCUCUUGACGAAGAAGAGAACCCAUGGAAAUGUGAGGAACUUCUAGAAUCUUCGACAAACCCUCGGCGUAUACGUGUCGCCUCACACCAGGCUCCCCUAUGAGCACCCACUGCACUCCUCUUCCCGGCGCCGACGCCGCCACACCUAGCAUCGGCUCCGGCUGUACCCGAACCCGAUUCAGCUGCUCCUCCUCGUAGUAUGAGUAUUCAUCCUCGGAGUCGUAGUCGAGCUCGACAGCAGCUGCCGAUCCGUAGCCGCGGCUCUUAGCGAGGAGCCCGAUGCGACUUGGCUUCAUAAACGAUGCAGCUCCUCGCAGGUGGCUCAGCCAUGCCAUGGUGGCGGCUAGUGAAGGAGAAGGUUUCUAGAGCGAUAGAGGGAAAGACUCUUAGAGAGAGAGAGAGAGAGAGAGAGAGUAGUGAGCCUCGAAGAGCAGGUUAUAAGGAGAGGAAACCCGAGGUUUUAGGAGGAAGAAGAAGAGGCACUUAGUCGAAAAUGUCACUGGUUGGAUGUUAAAUUACGCGAAUGCCACUGAGCACUUUACAUGCCGACACGUGUUUGGUAGUGAAUCGUUUUAAACCAAAAAGUAAUCGUGUAGUGUGUGGUCCAGGUGCACCUGCAGGUGUGGCCCUCCUUCGAAAUAUCACGGAAACAACACUUCUUGAUUUUUAGCAAUCUGAAUGGUUCUGAUCUUUUGUGGAGUUUUGCGGGCCAUUGGAUUUCUCGACGUGCGGGCCCCACGUACUGUAGCGUCGCUGUUGGCUAAUAUGAUGCCACGUGGAGGUCAACUGUUUUAAAAACGACCGUUACACGCGCUGACGCGCGGUUAAAACUAGCGCUGACUGUAGCGCCACGUCGGAGGAGAAGAACCAAUCGCGGGUUCUAUUAAGAGCACCACGGAGCAACCCGACCCGAGCCCAUGGGCCAAGAAAUUCGGGCUGAGUAUGAGAUGGAAAGCUUUUAGGAUAAGUUGACUUUUUAUGGUUUUAAUUUUAUAUUAUUUACAACAUUCGUGUUACACAUGAUUAAGCCAAGUCCAAACGAAUUAACAUUUUUAAUUAAAACGCUAAAACUUGCUUAUAUAUUAACAUGAGGUUUAAAUAAUAAAAAAGUCAUGGCUUUCACGUAAGUUAUACUCCGGUUUAUUCUUAUCUGAAAAUUAUUUGUAUUAUAUUAUAAUUAAUAUAUAUAUAUAUAUCAUUUAAUUAAUUUUUUUUGAUUGUAAUGUAAAUAUUUCUCAUUUUUACUUGAACUAAAUUAAUCCUAAUACAUAAAAAUUGUUAAUCAAACUCAUAAAAAGUAUUUUAUAAUUAUAAUAAAAAAUUAUUAAUGAGAGAAUAUGUCUAAAAUAGGUGGUUUGACAAAUAUUUCUCGCAUAUCAAGUUGUAAUUCCAAUAUAAUUAUUAUAUAACAUUAAUUAUGUGUAAAGUACUAAUCACAGAUGAAAUUGAUCUUAAUUUUUUAUUAUUCAUGUUUUCUUUAAUUAAUUAUGUUGGUUUCAAACUAAUCAAUUUUGUAUAUUCACGUACGUUCUGUAUUGGAAUAUUUUAUUUUAUUUUUAUAAAUACAUUAUGAGAUAGUAAUAAUCAAUUUUUAGUAUUUAAUUUAAUAAAUUAAAAAAUAUAAUUCAUUAAUGCACUGAUCAACCUGUCAUAAUAAAAUUAAUUAUAUUUUUAAAUACAAUAAAUAUUAUACUGUAGUUAAAUUUUUUUAAUUUAAAUAAUAAUAAAUUAUUGACAUAUUGAAAAUCAGUGAGUUUCUCUACUAAUUUUGUAAUAAUUCGAAAAAGAGAAAGAAAAAAAAAA